AUUCCUGCUUUCCCGCUCAAAUGUUGCAUUUUCUAAGACCUCCCUGGCCCGCCAUACGCCGAUCCUGAACCUACGAAAACCCAAGACUGCGGGCACGGUGGCUCAUGCCUGUAAUCCCAGCACUUUGGGAGGCCGAGGCGGGCAGAUCACGAGGUCAAGAAGUCGAGACCAGCCUUGCUAACAUGGCGAAACCCUGACUCUACUGAAAAUACAAAAAUUAGCUGGGCGUGAUGGCGUGCGCGCCUGUAGUCCCAGCUGCUCGGGAGGCUGAGGUAGGAGAAUCGCUUCAAUCCGGGAGGUGGAGGUUGCGGUAAGCAGAGAUUGCGCCACUGCACUCUAGCCUGGCGACAGAGACUCCUUCAAAAACAACAACAACAACAACAACAACAACAAAACAAAACCUCCCAAGACCCUAGUGGGCAGACACACAGCCAGCCAGACAUGGAGAGGAGCACAUUAGCAGAAGAAGACGCAAGUGGCUGGUCCUCGAGAGGACGUUGAGAGGAGCAUGCCAGCAGAAGAGCACACAACGACAGGCACCGACACACCACCGGCAGGCCAUGCACCAGCAGAAUGAUGCGGAGUUUGACGGGGCAGUCAGAGAAGAGCCUGGGCCGCCAAGGGGCCCGACUCCAGGGGAAAACCAUCUCCCUUCUGGCUCCCCCAUCUGCUGAGAGCUACUUCUACUCAAUAAAACCUUGCACUCAUUCUCCAAGCCCACGUGUAAUCCGAUUCUUCAGUGGAACCAAGGAGGCAAGAUGGUCAG
rnacentral:lncRNA from 1 species